AUUGAACGCUGGCGGCAGGCCUAACACAUGCAAGUCGAGCGGAGCGGCGGACGGGUGAGUAAUGCCUAGGAAUCUGCCUGGUAGUGGGGGAUAACGUCCGGAAACGGGCGCUAAUACCGCAUACUAUCAGAUGAGCCUAGGUCGGAUUAGCUAGGUGGUGGGGUAAAGGCCUACCAAGGCGACGAUCCGUAACGGGUCUGAGAGGAUGAUCAGUCACAAGUGAACUGAGACACGGUCCAAGGUCCUGCGGGAGGCAGCAGUGGGGAAUAUUGGACAAUGGGCGAAAGGCUGAUGCCGCCAUGCCGCGUGUGUGAAGAAGGUCUUCGGAUUGUAAAGCACUUUAAGUUGGGAGGCGUUACCAACAGAAUAAGCACCGGCUAACUUCGUGCCAGCAGCCGCGGUAAUAC
rnacentral:rRNA from 1 species